rnacentral:rRNA from 1 species
CUACGGGGCGCAGCAGUGGGGAAUAUUGGACAAUGGGGGCAACCCUGAUCCAGCAAUGCCGCGUGUGUGAAGAAGGCCUGCGGGUUGUAAAGCACUUUCAAUAGGGAGGAAAAGCUUUGGGUUAAUACCCCGAAGUCUUGACGUUACCUUUAGAAGAAGCACCGGCUAACUCUGUGCCAGCAGCCGCGGUAAUACAGAGGGUGCGAGCGUUAAUCGGAAUUACUGGGCGUAAAGCGCGCGUAGGCGGUUUGAUAAGUCAGAUGUGAAAGCCCCGGGCUUAACCUGGGAACUGCAUUUGAUACUGUCAAACUAGAGUAUGGUAGAGGGUAGUAGAAUUCCUGGUGUAGCGGUGAAAUGCGUAGAUAUCAGGAGGAAUACCAGUGGCGAAGGCGGCUACCUGGACCAAUACUGACGCUGAGGUGCGAAAGCGUGGGGAGCAAACAGGAUUAGAUACCCGGGUAGUC